rnacentral:rRNA from 1 species
UAAGGAAUAUUGGACAAUGGAGGCAACUCUGAUCCAGCCAUGCCGCGUGAGGGAAUAAGGCCCUAUGGGUUGUAAACUUCUUUUAGACGGGACAAAACCCCUUUACGUGUAAAGGGUUGAUGGUACUGUCAGAAUAAGCAUCGGCUAACUUCGUGCCAGCAGCCGCGGUAAUACGAAGGAUGCAAGCGUUAUCCGGAAUUAUUGGGUUUAAAGGGUGCGUAGGCGGACUAAUAAGUCAGUGGUGAAAGCCUGCAGCUUAACUGCAGAAUUGCCAUUGAUACUGUUAGUCUUGAGUACAGUUGAGGUAGGCGGAAUGUGUCAUGUAGCGGUGAAAUGCUUAGAUAUGACACAGAACACCGAUUGCGAAGGCAGCUUGCUAAGCUGUAACUGACGCUGAGGCACGAAAGCGUGGGGAGCAAACA